AAGUCGUAACAAGGUUUCCGUAGGUGAACCUGCGGAAGGAUCAUUAGCGAAGUUCGGAAGGCAUGUUCGGUGCUGAUGCUGCCCAGCGAUGGGAUGUGCUCGCUCGGAUGUGUGUCCCUUCUCUAUCCACCCCACUGUGAACCAAGUGUGUGAGCCGAAGAGAAAUCGGACGCUCGCAUGCAAACCUUUAACAUACCCCAAUGAAGUAUCAGAAUGUACCUUGCGUUAACUCGCACAAAUAUAACUUUCAACAACGGAUCUCUUGGCUCUC
rnacentral:misc_RNA from 1 species